AUUGAACGCUAGCGGGAUGCUUUACACAUGCAAGUCGACCGAGUGGCGGACGGGUGAGUAAUAUAUCGGAACGUGCCCAUUAGCGGGGGAUAACUACUCGAAAGAGUGGCUAAUACCGCCUCCUAUUGGAGCUGCCGCUAUCUGAUUCGCUAGUUGGUGGGGUAAAGGCUCACCAAGGUAACGAUCCGUAGCUGGUUUGAGAGGACGACCAGCCAAACUGGGACUGAGAAAGGGCCCAGACUCCUACGGGAGGCAGCAGUGGGGAAUUUUGGACAAUGGGGGAAACCCUGAUCCAGCCAUCCCGCGUGUAUGAGAAGGCCUUCGGGUUGUAAAGUACUUUUGGCAGAGAAGCGGUAUCUGCAGAAUAAGCACCGGCUAACUACGUGCCAGCAGCCGCGGUAAUUC
rnacentral:rRNA from 1 species